rnacentral:rRNA from 1 species
UUCCUACGGGGCGCAGCAGUGGGGAAUAUUGGGCAAUGGGCGCAAGCCUGACCCAGCAACGCCGCGUGAAGGAAGAAGGCUUUCGGGUUGUAAACUUCUUUUGUCAGGGACGAAGCAAGUGACGGUACCUGACGAAUAAGCCACGGCUAACUACGUGCCAGCAGCCGCGGUAAUACGUAGGUGGCAAGCGUUGUCCGGAUUUACUGGGUGUAAAGGGCGUGUAGCCGGGAAGGCAAGUCAGAUGUGAAAUCCGGAGGCUCAACCUCCGAAUUGCAUUUGAAACUGUUUUUCUUGAGUACUGGAGG